rnacentral:lncRNA from 1 species
AAGGGAACAAAUGCCUACGUGUUGAGCCCCAUUUUGGCCCUGGUUUGGGCCUUGAGGACAAACCCGAGCCUGGCUCAAGUUUCUGCAGCCUUGUAGGAGAGUCUAAGCCUGGCUUGAGUUUUGUGACCUGUCUCAGUCACUUCCGGGUGACUCAGCAAGACCUAUUUGGCCCUGCCUCUGCCCCACCGUUGUUGAUGUAGAGUUUUGCCAUUGGCCCUGUCAGUCACUCCAUACCCUCUGUCACCCUUCCCUGACUCUUAUGUCAUCGUGCCCCACCAAAAAUCCCCCUGCCUAUGUUCCAAAUUUAUAUAAGUGAGAGGCUGAUGCCAUAGAAUUGAGUUCCUGCUUUGACAGACUCCCGGCCUGGGUGUGUUUCUUUUGGGCCAUCCACACUCGCCAUCCCACUCAGUCCCGGAGAGACCCAGACAGGAUCAGGACCUCUCUCCUCUAGCCCAGACCUGCUGGCACCUAAGUGGAGAAAACAAAAUGUACCACCAUGCUUCAUGGAGCCACUCUCCUUGGGCAUCUCAGAAUAACUUUGCCCAUGGUCUCCAGGUAUCCCCAGCAGACAGUGUACCUGGAUGAGCUGAUGGUGUUUCAGCAUCGCCUCUGGGUCUCUCCAUCGCUGAGGGGUGUGCACUAUUGAUGUUAACCAAUGGAGGCGAUGAAACCAAGGGACAGAGAAUUGUUCUGCAAGGCCAUGCAGCUGCAGUGGGAAACUGGAAUCUGAGCUGGAACUGUAGAAUCCUCCUCCACCCUCUGCUGUGUUGAGGAUGGAGUGCAUG